GAUGAAGCCAAGGCCCAGUGGCCCACCAUCUUGGCUUACCUGGGACUACAGGGAUUCCUGUGAUGUGGGACUUCCAGUGCUAACGCUGGAAUCGUCCUGAACCAAGAGGGAAAAGUUGGUUACCUGGAUUAGAGGACCUUACACCAGUCACAUGGCUAGCCCUUAGUAGGAACCAUCCUUGAACGGAAGUAACUCAGGCAGACAUGAAAUUUCUCUGCCCCACCUCCCCCUUCCUGCAAAUCCCUUGAGAAGGAACAGCCAGACUCACCCAGAGAGUCAAGGCAGCAAAAAUCUGUCAUGCUUCCUGGCAGCCCUGUUUCACAGCAUAGGUACAGGAGGCCCGUCUCAGUGAACCUCACUCAUGUGAAACGGCCAGUCCCCCGUGGGAGGUGGAGUGGCAAAAGGAAGUUGACAAGGCGGAUAGGGCCCAGCAGAGACACCAAAAGAAGGGACAGCUCAGGCCACAGGGCUGCUUCUAGUGGACAGCACCCAGCAACUCACAGACACCGCAUCAAAGCCUUGAAAAAUGAUCAUCGCCAGCAUCCUGUCCACAGACAGGAUGACACUGUCAGCUCUUCUGUGGGGCUCGCCAGACACCUGCCCAUCACUGGCAGACACAGCACCUUGUUCAUCUGUACCUGAAA
rnacentral:lncRNA from 1 species